UGUCGUGAGAUGGUUAGGGUUAACGUCCCGUAACGAGCGCAACCUUGUCCUUAGUUACCAGCACGUUAUGGUGGGCACUCUAAGGAGACUGCCGGUGACAAACCGGAGGAAGGUGGGGAUGACGUCAAGUCAUCAUGGCCCUUACGGCCUGGGCUACACACGUGCUACAAUGGUCGGUACAAAGGGUUGCCAAGCCGCGAGGUGGAGCUAAUCCCAUAAAACCGAUCGUAGUCCGGAUCGCAGUCUGCAACUCGACUGCGUGAAGUCGGAAUCGCUAGUAAUCGUGAAUCAGAAUGUCACGGUGAAUACGUUCCCGGGCCUU
rnacentral:rRNA from 1 species